GGAACAGAGGGGUUUGUAUUUUCAUUUAUCACAGUCGCUGUAACAUCCGACAUCAUUGCACUAGUUUGAGAGGACACAUACACUGAGAGGGAGCAUCUCUUUUGCAAAUAGAAUAAAGUAUUGAAUGAGUUAUACUUUGCAUGGAAACUAUUAACUAAAAAUCGAUAGUGUUAUUGAGAAUCAAUACAGUAUCAUAAAACAUAAUAUCGCAAUAUUACAUUUUUUGUUACACCCUUACUCCUUUAUGUGCAGUAUUUUGCCACUGUGUGGAAGCUGGUCUUGGAUGCUAUCAGAGUGUGGGUUAGCUUAGCGUUAGCAGUUGUGUCUUCAAUAAAAAGCAACAGUAACUUCUGUCUUUAUCGUCCAUCUAUGUGAGCUAAGCAACCAAACACGUAACAAUGAAAUAAGAGUCUGAUCUUACAUUUUUCCUUAUCAUACUUACCCGUACUAGGACUGAGUAACUUUCUAGUUUCGGCUCGCUGAGGUUUGUUUUGGUUGACGGAUACGGAACAGAUAUGACGUCACGUUACUCAGACUACAACAAUAAAAGCGGUAACUUCCUUCUACCUCAACAUAGACU